AUGUCUUCAUCACCAGAGCCGACGCCUCGAUCCUUGGUGGCUCCUUCCCCGUCGGAUUGCUCGGGGAUCCAGCUCAUGGACCCCGUCUACAUCGUCUCAACUAUGAGAAGUCCAAAGACAGCAGCGCGUGCAGGAAUCGCUUCACCGACAACGCGUUCCGGGCCACAAGCGGAGCUCUCGGUAGGGCGAGGACGGGCGCCCGCCCUACCUUGA
rnacentral:rRNA from 1 species